AACGAACGCUGGCGGCAUGCCUAACACAUGCAAGUCGAACGCCUGUAGCAAUACAGGAGUGGCGCACGGGUGAGUAACGCGUGGGAACCUGCCCUGGAGAGCGGGAUAACCGAGGGAAACCUCGGCUAAUACCGCAUACGCCCUAAGGCCGUGGAGGUUUUUGGGGGAAAGAUUUAUCGCUCUAGGAGGGGCCCGCGUCGGAUUAGCUAGUUGGUGAGGUAACGGCUCACCAAGGCGAUGAUCCGUAGCUGGUCUGAGAGGAUGAUCAGC
rnacentral:rRNA from 1 species